rnacentral:rRNA from 1 species
CCUACGGGAGGCAGCAGUGAGGAAUAUUGGUCAAUGGACGGAAGUCUGAACCAGCCAUGCCGCGUGCAGGAAGACGGCUCUAUGAGUUGUAAACUGCUUUUGUACAAGGGUAAACCUGAAUACGUGUAUUCAGCUGAAAGUACUGUACGAAUAAGGAUCGGCUAACUCCGUACCAGCAGCCGCGGUAAUACGGAGGAUCCAAGCGUUAUCCGGAUUUAUUGGGUUUAAAGGGUGCGUAGGCGGAUUGAUAAGUUAGAGGUGAAAUGUCCGAGCUUAACUCGGGAACUGCCUCUAAUACUGUUGAUCUAGAGAGUAGAUGCGGUAGGCGGAAUGUAUGGUGUAGCGGGGAAAUGCUUAGAGAUCAUACAGAACACCGAUUGCGAAGGCAGCUUACCAAUCUAUAUCUGACGUUGAGGCACGAAAGCGUGGGGAGCAAACAGGAUUAGAUACCCUGGUAGUC